rnacentral:rRNA from 1 species
UACGGAGGAUGCAAGCGUUAUCCGGAAUGAUUGGGCGUAAAGGGUCCGCAGGUGGCAAUGUAAGUCUGCUGUCAAAGAAUGAGGCUUAACCUCAUCAAGGCAGUGGAAACUACAUAGCUAGAGUACGGUCGGGGUAGAAGGAAUUCCUGGUGUAGCGGUGAAGUGCGUAGAGAUCAGGAAGAACACCGGUGGCUAAAGCGUUCUGCUAGACCUGUACUGACACUGAGGGACGAAAGCUAGGGGAGCGAACAGG